GACGAACGCUGGCGGCGUGCUUAACACAUGCAAGUCGAACGAAGCUUGAUUACGGAUUCUUCGGAUGAAGUAUGAUAUGACUGAGUGGCGGACGGGUGAGUAACGCGUGAGUAACCUGCCCUUCAGAGGGGGAUAGCGUUUGGAAACGAACGGUAAUACCGCAUAAUGUAUUUUGACCGCAUGAUCGAAAUACCAAAGAUUUAUCGCUGAAGGAUGGACUCGCGUCUGAUUAGGUAGUUGGUGGGGUAACGGCCUACCAAGCCGACGAUCAGUAGCCGGACUGAGAGGUUGAUCGGCCACAUUGGGACUGAGACACGGCCCAGACUCCUACGGGAGGCGGCAGUGGGGAAUAUUGCACAAUGGGCGCAAGCCUGAUGCAGCAACGCCGCGUGAAGGAAGACGGUUUUCGGAUUGUAAACUUCUGUUCUUAGUGAAGAAUAAUGACGGUAGCUAAGGAGCAAGCCACGGCUAACUACGUG
rnacentral:rRNA from 1 species